GGAGAAGAUUCCAUGGGAAGGAGAGUUCACCAUUAGAAACGAUUCAUGAGCUGGGUUAAUAGCGUCCAGCGGCAGUUUCUUUUCAAUGGUCUCUUUCUUUC
rnacentral:rRNA from 14 species